CAACAAUAUUACCAAAUAAGAUCAAAAGGAAGCAAAGACAGAGAAUUUUCAUGUGUCCUCGACCCAGAUUUCCAAACCAUUCAAUUGUCGUCUACAACAAAUGGAAGAGAAAUCUACAGUAGAUUUUGACGCCUACGUCGGUGGUUUAUUUUGAUGUGCAGUUCUACACAAGAUGUGCAAUUCUAAACCUUUAAUGUGCUGUUCUUAAAACGCAAAUGUGCAGUCACCAAAUUAACAAAAACAUGACCUUAAAACAGUUUUCCCGUUUACUUUGUGGAUGCUCCGGAAAUGCCAGAAUGUGGUGAUUCUCAACUUUUAACGUAAAAUACCGUAUCAGUAACCCAGGUAAAAAAUCCUUUCAACCUCCCACCCCCCUCAGUCAAACACCUGAUCCUUCGUAAUAUCCCCAUAAUUAUGUGCAUGAAGUUCUAAAUUUUUCUUAGGCCAAAUAAAAAAAUAUGUGGGUUUCCGGUUUCCCGACCCUACCUAGCUUUUGGACGUUGAAAUCCCGACCUUAACUUUUUUAUUGGAUCACGCUUGUAAGUGUUUCCACUUAGAGCAAAACGUUUGUGGAAAAUGAAAAUUUGAGGCAAUAUUAGGGAAAUUUAUGUUUGGAUGUGGAAGCACUGACUAAACAAAAUGGCGUCUGGUUGUUAGGAAGAUUAAAAAAAAAGUUUAAAAAAAAAAGUUAAAACCUACCUACCCUACCUAAGUUUUUACAAGAGGAAACCGGAAACCCACAUAUUUUUUUUGGCCUUAAAAUAAACCCUUGCCUAAACACAGGGGGGUGUAAGUGAAUUUUGCAGCAUUAUCAAGGCAUGCACUAAAAAAUAUUUCUUUUCUCCAACAUCAAAAAAAAUUUUCCGAACAACAUAUUUGUCAAUCUUAUUUUGUGUUUAACUAUAAAAUAAAGUUGAAACAAGGUAAUUUUAAGAGGAACGCCAAAAAGAUUGCCUCUUUAAUAAUAAACUCUCAUCAUGGCUUUGAUAAAUAUUCGAAAUGACAUUUCAAAAUUGAAUUAGCUUAGUUUAGUUCCAGUAACAGCACAAAGUUCAUUCAAACGACUUUUAAUAUGGUCAGGAAACGGUCAUAUUAACAGCCCUAUUAAAAUAUUUUGAUUUUGUGGCAUCAGCCGCGUAAUUUUCAUACGCUAGAAUGCCAAUCAUAUAUACAACUAAUCCUAUUUGCUUUGUCAAUAUUUAUUCGUUCACUUACCGGUUCUAUAAACAAACAAACAAACCAACGCAAAAUAGACUUUGUCACAAACAGGAAUUAACGUUCUUGACAGCUAUAUAUUUGCCUCAAUACUAAAACAAUUUAGUCACACAAAAUUUUGCUAAGCAUCGCUUCAACGCUACAGAAAAAAUGUUUAAAAAAACGCAUAAAAUAUGAGAUUCAGUAAGAAAUACACAGGUGGCUAUGACUUGUGUUCUAUCGGAGUUAUUCAUGCGUUAAAACUUUAGGGUACGUAGCCCAGAUCUCUCACUUGAUUGGCUCAUAGUUUUUUCAUUUUGCAAAAUAAUCACUAUAACGUAUAAUAAAGAAAUAAGUGAAAACAAUCAUGAAUGAGUGACUUUAUAGCACUGAGAAUACUAGUGGAAUUUUGAAAACAAUGAAAAGACAAUGGAACAAUGGGUCGAAGUUUAUUUCAUCAAUUGUGUAUUGAGCGUUUGCAAUCAUUCCUCAGGGACCAAAACUCAACAAAAGCCAUGACGGCCAUGCAUGUGCCAGUUCCAGACAAAACAGUCCAAUUAAAAUUCUUUUGAACUGGAACACCAACAUGGCGGCUGUGAUUGUAUUGUACAGGGUGUCCCCCUAAAAAAAACGCAAAACCAUUGAAAUGACGUAUUGUUUAAAUUUGAAUGCCUUAGCACUAAGAUGAACGCAAAGAUACGUAAAAUAUUGACAAGGGUGCAUAUAUUAAAUAUUGACUUAUUAAGAAAUUAAAAUAUCUUUGUAAAGCGCACGAUUCUUGGGAAUUUAAAACAGCUUCUUAAACGGUUUCUUUGUGAAUAAAAUUUACUUACGUCAACCUUUGAUGCACGUGUGGGUUCAGCAAAGUACUGAGGCAUUCAAAUUCUAACAAUACGUUAUUUCAAUAGUUUUCUUUUUGGGGGAACACCCUUGCAUUGUGCAAACGCUCUACAGUAUAGCAAGAUAGCUGUAUCAGUUACAUUUGUAAACCGCUUUUCAUGGAGUGUUACGCAUCCGGAUUACUCACUGGAAUUUUUUCAAAAUCCUUACUAUAUGGAAAUAGUAGGGACAUUCAAUUUCCAUACCAAUUCCAAUUUUCAUACUAUUUAACAA
rnacentral:lncRNA from 1 species